GUUGCGACACCUUAAGGGUUUCGCGUGAUGGAAUGAGUGGAGAGAUGAAAUCAAAUUGAAAAUCGAUUAUUUCUAUAAAAAAAUGGUACGAAAAAAUAUGUGGGUAGGAAAAAAAAACAAAUUUGGGUACGAAAACAAAUUUGAGUACGAUAAAAAGGGUACAAACAAAAUAAGGGAACGAAAAAAACUAUUUUGGUACGAAAAAAAUGGGUACAAAUAAAAAAUAAGGUACGAAAAAAUUUGUGUACGAAAAAAAAAUGAGUACGAACAAAUGGGUACGAAGAAAUUUGGGUACGAACAAAUUUGUGUACGAAAAAAUUGGGUACAAAAAAAUGUGGGUACGAAAAAAAAAUUGGUUAUGAAAAAAAAUUAGGGUACGAAAAACUAUUUGGGUACGAAAAAAAAGGUUCAAAUAAAAAUUUGGGUACAAAAAAAAUUGGGAACAAAACGAAUUUGGGUACGAAAAAAAUUUGAGUACGAACAAAUGGGUUCAAAGAAAUUUGGGUUCGAACAAAUUUGUGUAAAAAAAAAAUUGGGUACGAAAAAAAAUUUGGUUAUGAAAACCUAUAGGGAACGAAAAAAUUAGGGUACAAAAAACUAUUUGGGUACGAAAAAAAAGGGUACAUAUAUAAAUUUGGGUACAAAAAAAAUUGGGUACGAAACAAAUUUGUGCACCGACGGACAGACGAAGCGGCGACUAUAUGCUCCCCCUAAAAAAUUUGGGGGGGAGCAUAAUAAACAAGUUAUGGCAAUUUAAAGGUGGUACGCAAACUUAAUAAUAGAUUUAUCAAUUAUAUGCUUAUUCUAAGUGAAGAAAAGGCCAUAAUUGUUACAAAAUGCUUGAUACAGUUAUCUGCUCUUGUUUAUACAUUGGGGUCAUGUUGGUUAAUAAGCAAAAUACAUGGUGUAUGAACGCAAUAUGUCAAGGGACAUAAAAAAUAUUUGAGGUCAUAUGCAAACUUUAACAUAGAUUUAUCAAUAAUAUGCAUAUUAUUCUAAGUGAAAAAGGGCCUAAUUCUGUUAAAAUGCUUGAUACAGUAAAUGAGUUGUCUGCUCUUGUUUAUAGAUUGGGUUUAUGUCGGUAAUGAAGUAUGCAAAAUAUAAAAGCAAUAUGUCAAUGGACAUAGGAAAUAUAUUUGAGGUGGUACGCAAACAUUCCAAUGCGCAAGCCGACGCCGGGUUGAGUAGGAUAGCUCGACUAUAUAUAUUUCAUAUAUAACAGUCAAGCUAAAAUGUAAAUAUACCAUAAACAACAGGCUAACCUCAAUCACAACUUUAAUGCAAUGCUUAUAACAAUAGAGAUACAAUGAUAUGCCAGGGAUUGAAACUAACUGUUUACUAUUGUGGGCAACCAUCUUUAGUAUUUUGGUUGCCCAGAUAAAGAAUAACGAGCCCAGAAAUAUGAACAUGUGAAUAUUAUACAUUCUUUUAAUAAAAUAAUAGAUAAUUAAAUACAUUUGCUGACAACACAUGUUCAAUGCAUGAUGUUUUAUUAUGAGCCUGAAUUGAAUCAUGUCCUAUUCCUAAAUAAUGAAUGUUAUUUAACUAGUAUUGAUCCAUGGUGAUCAAUUGUUUUUCAAUUUUUAUUGCAGUGAAUUGUUUUAAGCUUUAAAAAAAAGAAGUUUACCAACUUUUGAAAUUGAGUUGCCCAGGCCAAAAUCUACUUGCCCCGGGUUCACGGUAAACCACUUAUUUCCAUCCCUGUAUGCUCUUCAUUUUCUGUUCUUCCAUCGCAUUCUCAAAAUUAAAUUUAAAGCCGAUAUUUUUUAAUAACAUUAGUAUGAAUUACUAACCAUUAUCACCCAAAAAACAAUUUUACAAAGCUGUAAUCCCGUCGUAGAGAUUUAGUUUACUAUUAUCAGUGUUCUCUUUAAAUACCGGCUGCUAGCGAUCUUGCCGGUUACAUUAACUCUUGAUGCCGGCUACUUUUCCCAAAUAUAUCAAGUAAAUGUCACAAAUGCUUUGGUUUUACUGCAUAGUUGCCGGCCAUAUAACUGGCUACUCAAAUUUUUCUGGAAAACACUGAACUAUGCAUGACAAACACACAAAAAUUAAAUACAUCUUAGAUUCAUUGUAAAAAAUAAAUUGACACUUCCAGCUUGUCGUCACUAAAAUCCAAAGAUUCAAAUAAUUUUCCAAGAGAUACGUCAACAAUUGCGUAAUCAAAUGAAUGAAAAAUAAAAGUAAAGAAAGCCGGAUUUUACAUAAAUUUCAGGUUGAAACACAACAAGGUAAAGGUAGUCGGUGAGAUAUUAUAAUAAUACAGUUAGUAAGGCUCGUACCCUGGGUACGGUAAAUAUACUAAAACAUACCCGGGAAUUUUAACACUAAAUCGGUUGUUGUCGGCUAUUUUGUAAAAAUUAAUUAUGUUUACAUUUAUGUCAAUUUUCUUUUAAAUGGCAUUUAUACAAUGUAUUAUCAAAACUCAUUUUUACAAUCAUUAAUGUGAUUCAAUUUAAAAUCUUAAAUUGUUUAAAGUUGCGUCAUUGUAUGACGUUGUCAAGUAUAUUUUCCGCGAUGUCGCACGUUCAUUUUUUUCCGUCAUAGAUUUUUUUAAAGAAACAUUUUUUGGUUUGCGAGGUCCGUUAAAUGGGGAACACCAUAUUUGGUAUUUAUAUUAUGUUUUAACAAAUAAUUCAUGCUGUGUAAUAAAUAUUGUAUAAGAUAUUUCGAUAUUUAUUGAAAAUGUUUCAAAUUGUUAUUUAUGAAACCUUUUAUUCUAAUGAGUGUAUGCUAUCAUAUUAUACUUCGAAUAGCAGAUCUGUUGUACUAUAAUCGUAUUAUUCAUUCUUUAUUGUUAAUUUCAUUUAUUGUAGAGAAUCGUCAAUGUUACAUCUAGUCGCCAAUCCUUGUCGUUAGUGUUAGUUUUCAAUGCUUGUUAUCAUUGCCGUCAAUGUUAGUCGUCAAUCCUUAUGGUCAUUAUACAUGAAGGAAAUAAAAGCAGAAACAGA